AAGAGCACUCAAAAUUCCUGCAAUGACA
rnacentral:piRNA from 1 species